CGCGUAGGCGGCCAGAUAAGUCCGGUGUGAAAGUCACAGGCUCAACCUGUGAAUGCCGCUGGAAACUGUCUGGCUAGAGUCCGGGAGGGGCGAGUGGAAUUCCUGGUGUAGCGGUGAAAUGCGCAGAUAUCAGGAGGAACACCAAUGGCGAAGGCAGCUCGCUGGAACGGUACUGACGCUGAGGCGCGAAAGCGUGGGAGCAAACA
rnacentral:rRNA from 1 species